AGCCAUGCAUGUCUAAGUAUAAGCAACUUGUACAGUGAAACUGCGAAUGGCUCAUUAAAUCAGUUAUCGUUUAUUUGAUAGUACCUUACUACUUGGAUAACCGUGGUAAUUCUAGAGCUAAUACAUGCUAAAAAUCCCGACCUCCGGAAGGGAUGUAUUUAUUAGAUAAAAAACCAAUGGCUUCGGCCUCCUUGGUGAUUCAUGAUAACUUAACGAAUCGCAUGGCCUUGCGCCGGCGAUGGUUCAUUCAAAUUUCUGCCCUAUCAACUUUCGAUGGUAGGAUAGUGGCCUACCAUGGUUUCAACGGGUAACGGGGAAUUAGGGUUCGAUUCCGGAGAGGGAGCCUGAGAAACGGCUACCACAUCCAAGGAAGGCAGCAGGCGCGCAAAUUACCCAAUCCCAAUCCGGGGAGGUAGUGACAAUAAAUACUGAUACAGGGCUCUUUUGGGUCUUGUAAUUGGAAUGAGUACAAUUUAAAUCCCUUAACGAGGAACAAUUGGAGGGCAAGUCUGGUGCCAGCAGCCGCGGUAAUUCCAGCUCCAAUAGCGUAUAUUAAAGUUGUUGCAGUUAAAAAGCUCGUAGUUGAACCUUGGGUCUGGCUGCUCGGUCCGCCUAACCGCGUGCACUGAUGCGGCCGGAUCUUUCCUUCUGGCUAACCUCAUGUCCUUUACUGGGUGUGUUGGGGAUCCAGGACUUUUACUUUGAAAAAAUUAGAGUGUUCAAAGCAGGCCUACGCUCGAAUACAUUAGCAUGGAAUAAUAGAAUAGGACGGCGGUUCUAUUUUGUUGGUUUCUAGAGCCACCGUAAUGAUUAAUAGGGAUAGUCGGGGGCAUCAGUAUUCAAUUGUCAGAGGUGAAAUUCUUGGAUUUAUUGAAGACUAACUACUGCGAAAGCAUUUGCCAAGGAUGUUUUCAUUAAUCAGUGAACGAAAGUUAGGGGAUCGAAGACGAUCAGAUACCGUCGUAGUCUUAACCAUAAACUAUGCCGACUAGGGAUCGGGCGGUGUUCAACUUAUGACCCGCUCGGCACCUUACGAGAAAUCAAAGUUUUUGGGUUCUGGGGGGAGUAUGGUCGCAAGGCUGAAACUUAAAGGAAUUGACGGAAGGGCACCACCAGAUGUGGAGCCUGCGGCUUAAUUUGACUCAAACACGGGGAAACUCACCAGGUCCAGACACAUUAAGGAUUGACAGAUUGAGAGCUCUUUCUUGAUUAUGUGGGUGGUGGUGCAUGGCCGUUCUUAGUUGGUGGAGUGAUUUGUCUGCUUAAUUGCGAUAACGAACGAGACCUUAACCUGCUAAAUAGCCAGGCUAGCUUUUGCUGGUCGCCGGCUUCUUAGAGGGACUAUCGGCUCAAGCCGAUGGAAGUUUGAGGCAAUAACAGGUCUGUGAUGCCCUUAGAUGUUCUGGGCCGCACGCGCGCUACACUGACAGAGCCAACGAGUAUAAACCUUAACCGAGAGGUUUGGGUAAUCUUGUUAAACUCUGUCGUGCUGGGGAUAGGGCAUUGCAAUUAUUGCCCUUCAACGAGGAAUAUCUAGUAAGCGCAAGUCAUCAGCUUGCGUUGAUUACGUCCCUGCCCUUUGUACACACCGCCCGUCGCUACUACCGAUUGAAUGGCUCAGUGAGGCCUUCGGACUGGCUCCAGGAGGUCGGCAACGACCACCCAGAGCCGGAAA
rnacentral:rRNA from 1 species